rnacentral:rRNA from 1 species
AUUGAACGCUGGCGGCAUGCUUUACACAUGCAAGUCGAACGGCAGCGCGGGCUUCGGCCUGGCGGCGAGUGGCGAACGGGUGAGUAAUGCAUCGGAACGUGCCCAGUAGUGGGGGAUAGCCCGGCGAAAGCCGGAUUAAUACCGCAUACGACCUGAGGGUGAAAGCGGGGGACCGAAAGGCCUCGCGCUAUUGGAGCGGCCGAUGUCGGAUUAGCUAGUUGGUGGGGUAAAGGCUUACCAAGGCGACGAUCCGUAGCUGGUCUGAGAGGACGACCAGCCAACUGGGGACGGAGCACGGCCCCAGCUCCCUAGGGGGGGAAGGAGGGGGGAAUUUUGGACAAGGGGGGCAACCCUGACCCAGCCAUGCCGGGUGGGGAAAGAAGGCCUUGGGGUUGGAAACCGUUUUUGUUGGGAAAAAAACCCUUGGGGCUAAACCCCCGGGGGGAGGAGGGUACCGGAAGAAUAAGCCCCGGCUAACUCCGU